AUUUCAUCUAUAUAUAUUUUUUGGAUUUGGAGUUGACGAUCUGUGUGAGUUUGACAAAAGCCGCAUGAAUUAUGAAUUUUCUCUGUUAGAUUUUGCAGAUUUAAUGAAUUAAUGGUUAUUUAAUUUUCACUCGAAAAUAAACUUGCUCAUAUAUACAUAUAUAGAUAAAUAGCCACAAACUUUUACGGAUCCAAAGGUUAAUUCAUCACACAGUUUCUUCUAUUGUGGAAGUUUUUCCCCCCGUCUUCUGAAGAACCCUAAAAAAGGGAUCCUGAUAACUUUGAGGCUGAGCCUAAGGUUCUAACACUUGCUGUAUGAUAACUCUUAAAGAAUUAUCACAAGAUAUUUGUCACAAGAUAUUGUUAGGACGUGAUCACAAAAUCAUCAAGUGGACUAUUACUGUGAUUUGAAAUGACACAAUGGAAAAGUACAAGCAAGUUGAAUAUCUAGGGUAUGAGAGCAUUGGAGAGGUAUGGCUCGUGGAAAACAAAAAGACCACGGAACUCUUUGCCAUGAAAUGCUUUAAGCGUGGUCAUCAGAUUGAUAAAUAUCUGGCUAGAGAAAUCAUAAUCCAGAAAUCGCUUUAUCAUCCCAACGUAAUCCAAUUCAAGGAGGUGGUUUUGAGUUCAACCUAUCUCUGCAUCGUGAUGGAGUACGCUAAGGGUGGAGAUCUAUAUAAUAAAAUUUUUAUCAAAGGGCUUAAUGAAAAUACGGCCAGAUAUUAUUUCCAGCAGCUUAUAUCAGGAGUUUUCUACUGUCACACUAAGGGAAUGUGCCAUAGAGAUCUGAAGCCAGAGAACAUCUUAUUAGAUGGAAGUGAUCUUCCAUGCUUGAAGAUUUGUGAUAUUGGUUUUUCAAAGCAAUAUCGGAUGCAUUCAAAACUCAAGUCAGCAAUUGGAACUCCACAAUAUAGUGCACCUGAGGUUUGUUCGAGAGAGUAUGAUGGGAAGUUGGCAGAUUUAUGGUCAUGUGGAGUGAUUCUUUAUACUAUGCUGGUGGGGGGAACACCCAAAGUAUAGACCAAAUGAUACAGGGGAAGCCAGUAAUGUUUAUGAAACAAAUGCCUGUCCAUUCUCUCUUCCAGACUCUUUAUCUCCAGAUUCUAAGGAUCUCCUUGCUCGCAUGCUUGUUGUAGAUCCUCGAAAGAGGAUUGCCAUUGAGGAAAUCAUGAAGCACCGGUGGUUUAAGAAGAAGUUGAAAGGGAAACUAGCAGAAGCAUUUCAAGUUACGAAAGAAAAUCCAAGAUUUGCCCUCCAAAGUGAUGAAGAGAUAGUGAUAAUUGUUGAAGAGGCCAUAAUUCCUCCACCAGAGGAUGCUAAUGUUACGGAAGAAUAUUUUGAAUUUGAGGAGGAAGAAGAAGAUGAAGAUUCAUCUUGUGGAUCUUGUGUGAGUUAAACAAAAAAAUUGUGUACUUACUUUGAACUUUAGAUACUAUCUGAACAAAAUCCACAUCACUUUUACUAUUAUUAUUGAUGUUACUUUAGAUAUGGCAUCUAUCUACAAAGUAUAUCAAUAUGGUGCAAAAUUUCGAAGUAUCAUUGUGGGAAACUAGCAUUAUUGACUGUAGGUUUCAUACUGAAAACCCUACAAAUUUCAGUGUUUUGAAGAACACUUUGACAAGUUUUAUUCAA